GCAGCGGUCAAGUUGUACCAACACAGAGAAAGGAGGAGGAACCUCUGGUCGGCCCUUGAGAACAUUUUAGCUGGGGUUCUGGAAUGGAAUGUGGCACAGAAAGGCCAAACCAGACCAGUAAAUUCUUUGAAAGGGUGAAAAGCAAGGAUUGUGGAUUUCUGGAAGAUGGAUGCUGUUGGAUUUCCAGAAGAUGGAUGCUGUUGACUUUCAGGGCAAUCCUUUGUCACUCAGGAUUCUGGAUGCCCUUUUGAAAGAUUCCAAGAGAACCUUCGUUUCUCACUGUCCCUGCUACUGAUAGCCACCUGACCUGCCGGGCUGUCUCUGCUGCUUGUCUCAUUCACAGAUGGAGAAGAGUUCCUGCUACUCUUGAUGAUGCCUUUUGGGAGUCCUCCAUUUGACCUCCCUGAGUGAGAACUGAUGGGGACACUGCUGUUGAUGAAGCUGCUGAUUCAAGAGUCUUCAAAGGCCACUGUCUCACAUCAUUGUAGGCUUAAGAGAGAGAGAGAGGGAGAGCGAGCGAGCACAGGCAGACAGAAUGGCAGGCAGAGGCAGAGGAAGAAGCUGGCUCCCAGCCCAGCAAGGAGCACGAUGUGGGACUCGAUCCCAGGAUGCUGGGAUCAUGACCUGAGCCGAAGGCAGCUGCCUAACCAACUGAGCCACCCAGGUGUCCCAGGAAACUAUUUAAAUGAAUCUUUCUGAUCAGUGCAUCCAAGAACAGCACAGUGUCUUUCAAACUGAUGACAACGUAUAAAAUAAAAGAACACACAAAGAAACCGAACUAAGAAGAAAUUUCUCAGCUUGUCAAUGAGAUGAAAUAGAUUUAAAGGCAGGUUCCCCAAACAGCAAGCCUCCAAAACCCUUUUAUAUAAAAAUUAAGAUGUUUGAGAAGUCACAUAGCAAGAAAGAAGACUAAUUCAGUUAUUUUCCGAACUGAGUUUCAAUUUCUCCUCUAAGUAGCUCACAAUACAUAUUCAGUUAUUUUUGUAUAAAUAAGGAAUACCUUCAAAGCUGCCUUUUAAGAAGAGGCAACAUCUCCAGUAACCUCAUAAAUAUGUUGACAGUUCAUAGCUCUGUUAGUUCCAUACCAUCUCUACACUCGCAUGUUCCCUACUUGUACUUCUCCUAAGUCUUGCUCAUUGCUCAAAGAUACUAAAGCCUACUGAGUAGAACAAUCAAAAGGAGAAAGACCACUGGUUCACUCAAUCAGUGAGUGAGUGAACUCACUUCUUUUAAUUCAGCUAUGUAAUUAACAGGUUAUAUAUGUUAUAUAACAUAUCUAUGAGAAAGACGUCUAAUGGUGUCCAAACUUAUAAAAACGUGAGUUAAAAACAAUGCUAUGAUUUUCAGGGAAAAUAUGAACUUUCAUAAAUUUCUGUAAAACAAUAAAACCCGAGGGUUAGAAAGAGGUGACUUCUUUGGUGAAACUUCACUUUUGCCUUUGCUGGCAGAGGCUAAGGGGCCAAGAUUAUUUGCAACAAAUAUGCUUGUGCACAUGAUUCUGGAGGUCUGCAUGGAAGCAUUGUUUUCUCUGAAAUCUGGAGUAAGAGAUGUGAUCUCCCAGUCACUGUAGAAAAAGGAGCCGUGUGUUAUGUUGCAGAUGGUCAAUUUCCUCUGGUCACAUUCACUCUUUGUACAUUGGGAAGGCAAAGAGAAGUGUGAAAUGAUAUGACAGAACAAUGAUCUUUAUACAGGCAUAGUGGAUUAUUUAUUUUUAAAAGGUCAGUUAGGAAAGGGUAUCAUGCAUUGUAGAGUAAUACAUAUGAAAAUUAAAGUCGUGAACCUCUGCAGGGGAUUCAGUAUUGAAAAGUCACCCAAAGGCCUACAGUAAAUGCUCUGUUAGCUGCUGUGGUUACAGUAUGAGGUUCUCUGGUUAAAAAUAUGUUGCAGUUAAGUCUUCAUUACGAUUUCUAUAUCAUGCCUAGAUUUUAAAUAUCCAAGCAUUAAGAUAAUGUAAAUAAGAAAAGAAACCCAAAGCCUCUGAGUUCAGAUAAGCUGACUCUAAAUCCUGGCUACAACUCUUACCAGAUUUGUGAUAUUAAGUUAUCUACUCCCUCUGAGCCUUAAUUUUUGUAUCUGGAAAAUGGAGCUAAGUCUUGAUUAAAUACUAUGUUAAGACUUCCAUUUUUCCACUUAAAAAUGUCCUUUUGGGGACAAGGUUUUCCCUCUGGCCUCACACAAAUAAAGUAGACAAUAUAUAUGAAGAAGCAUUGGUUUCCAAGCUACAGUAUAUUAGAUAACCAAGGACAGGAACCCCAGGAUAUGAGAAACAAAGAAGUGAGGCUUCUGGUUGCUUCAGUUUACUACCUUGAGAAAGUUUCCUGAUAACAAAGCAGAGAGGAAAAACCACAGAUGGUCCAGCAGAAUCCCUGAGUUGAAGAGACAAUGCUGAAUGCCUAGGGAUACCAAUGCAGCUGGAGUUCGUAAAACAGACUAGGGAGAAGAAAGAGUCACACAGAAAGCAAACUCCAGAGAAUGGCACAGUCUCUACCUUCAAGUUCAGCAGAACAUUAAUCAGCGCACCUGUGUGAUAAAAGUAAUGGAGACUAGGAAAAGAAUCACCCACAAGGAUUAGAGAGAAUGGUACUCAUGGCUCACAUAGAGUCGGGAACUGCUAUUCUCAACAGCUAGAGGGGAAAUCUUUGCAAGUCCCCAUGGUACUAGGAAAGUAGUAACAAAGGUCUUGUCUCAGUAGUAGAGAAUAAUUACCUCUAAACUAAACAGGGCUUGGUACUACAUGACAAAUCUUAAAAGACAGACCUGAACAGAUCAAAAGGUUUCCAAAUAGCUUACUGUAUCCCAGAGUAAAAUGCAAGAAUAUUUAUAAAAAUACUAAAAUAUCCAACACCUACACAAAGGUAAAGGUAAAGCUCACAAUCCUUAACAUUCAAUAAGAAAUUACCAGGUACAAAAUAGGAAGGUAAAUAUGAGAAGAAAGAGCUCAAUCAAAACUGACCCAUAACUGGGGAGGAGUCAAGAUGGCAGAGAAGUAGCAGGCUGAGACUACUUCAGCUAGCAGGAGAUCAGCUAGAUAGCUUAUCUAAAGAUUGCAAACACCUGCAAAUCCAGCGGCAGAUGGAAGAGAAGAACAACAGCAAUUCUAGAAACAGAAAAACAACUGCUUUCUGAUAGGUAGGACUGGUGGAGAAGUGAAUCCAAAGCGACAGGAAGAUAGACCCCGGGGGAGGGGCUGGCUCCCGGCAAGCAGCGGAGCAACGGAGUACAAAACUGGGACUUUUAAAAGUCUGUUCCGCUGAGGGUCAUCGCUCCAGAGGCUAAACCGGGGUGAAGCCCACGUGGGGUCAGUGAGGCCUCAGGUCCCGCAGGGUCACAGAAGGAUCGGGGGUGUCUGAGUGUCGCAGAGCUUGCGGGUAUUGGAACGNNN
ensembl:lincRNA